rnacentral:lncRNA from 1 species
AGGAGCCAGAGACUUGCCGUCACGUUUUGUGAUCAUCAUACGGCGAGAGAGUGGCGUGUUAGUGUAGCCUGUGGCUAGACCAUCUUUUGUGGGGACUUCUUUAAAGACUCCUUGGUGCACAAGAAAUUUCAUUAUACGGUGGAGAUGCGACGGAGAGGCAGAGACUGCACCGGAGAGCUCGGCUAGUGUCACUGGCUGUGACGGAUGGUUUUCAAUGGCUUCUGGUAUCUUAAGAUCGAUGGCACACUUUGCAGCUGCUAUAUCUGCAAAGCCAAAGACAUAUCUCCAAAUGUCUAGAGAAGCUUUAGCUUCUUCAUCCAAUAAGUUUCUUUUACUUUCUUCCAUUUCGUUUCUAUGACGAGUGAUUUGUGAUUUGAGGGAUUAGUUUCUUUAUAGUGUUUAUAGAAUGAGGGCACAAUAGUAAUUUUGGCUUGUAAGAGAUGAUAGCAAUUUUGGCUUGUAAAAACAUUAGAAAUUUCGGCACCACAUAGGAAGAACCCACAUGUUUAAAAUGGAUCAAUAUGUGUGGUGUUGUCCAUGGGUUGUUGCUCUCGGCUUAUAUGCAGAGUAACAAUGAAGGAGGGGGUGGAGAAUUGAAUGAGAAGUGGUAACAAAUAUGAGCCAAAGGACGUUAUUGGCAAUCUUAAUUACUUGGACUGAAUGUUGAUUUUAGGCGUUACAGAUGUGAUUUUUGGGAAGCCUAGUAAUUUAAGUUAAGCUUUAAGGCGCCAAAACGGAAAGUAUUCUAAAAUGCUCUAGUGACUUUUUUUGUUUAAUGCUUAAAAAAUGCUCUAGUGCUAAUAUUUAAAUCUUAGUAUCCUUCAAUAAUCUCACUAUCUUUUUCAUUUUCUAAUUCCACCAUUAGUCUAGGUUUCACUUUUUUUUUUUUUUCAUGCGACCAGAUUCUUUUUAAGUGGCUUUUUGGAUAUAAUUUUUAAUUAUUGAUGACCAAUAUACUACAAAAAUCACAUGAACAAAGAUAAUAAAAUUAUAACAUGUAUAAUAUAAUUCAAACUCGGAUCAGGCAGUAUGAUAUGUUUUCGGGUUAGUCCACUCUGUAACACUAAAUGUGUUCUUUCCGGAGUCGACCGGAUCAGCCAAUAGGGUUUAUCAAAAAAAAAAAUAGUUCAAACUCAAAGGCAACAGAACAAAACUCAAAUAAAUUAAUAAAUAUAUAGAUAUAAACAACUUAUAAGUGCAAGUCAGUGUACCACAUUCAAUAGCACCUCCUUAAUCAACGAGAUUGAUAAAAAAAUAAGUGGAGGUACAAAGAACAACACGCAACAAUUCAGUUACUAAAAAAAGAACAACACAACAUGGCUGGUACUGAAACAAGCCUUGAUUAUUACGACACAACAUAACUGAUACGUAAACAAGCCUUGAUUAUUCUGACACGACACAACCAUUCACACUUAGCAUAACUUCUCACACGCGUACUACUUAGCCGAUAACCGCAAAUAGAUUCAGUUUUCUCGAAGUAAAUUUUGGUUUAGCUCUUCCCUAGCUUGGAUUAACCCUUUCAUAUCUUGCUUUUAUCACCGAUAUGCUAUGAUAACACACUGAACAUCAUCAAUAUCCCUAACUUCAUAUCGGGCAAAACCAGCUUCGUUAAGAACAAAGUCCCACUCUUUCAAAGUUCGUUCUUUGCCUGUGGUUGUGUGAGCCAUCAUCACCAUAUCAAGCAUCAAUCUCACAUGCUCUAACUUCUCAUCUCUGUCUUCCACUAUCAUCGCCUUUUUCUUCUCUCUGAUUACAGAUUCCACUAUCAACACUUUCCCGAUAUUUGGUGGGACAGCUUCUUUGCAAUUCUUCAAUAUUCUUAUGCAAUCUUUGUCUCCCCAAUCAUGUAACACCCACUGUCAUCAUUUUUCAACAGUUUAAGUUUCAGAUAUAACUAGUCAAUAUCAUGCAUUGAAAUAUGAUUUAAGCUUGCACCAAAAAAAAUAUGAUUGAAACCGCAGAUCUUUUAUAUGAACAAAUAUGUUUUUUUAAGGCUCUCAUAUUUCAAAGGGUCUCACAAAGAAAAUAAAGAACGAAUAACCUCAUCAGUUAAAGAAAUAAUUUGGGGAAAAAAAGCCUGUCAAUUUUUUUUCAGAGAAUAUACAUUAAAUAGCCCAAUUUAAACCUUUCAUCUAUAAAAUAUGCUACAAAUUUUUCAUCUGUUAACCAGUGGUGGUAAUCCAGUGGCGCUAGAGGAAAUAAAUCCAAUACAUCAAACCCUGGUUCGAAUCCCACUGGCCACACGGAUAUGAACUAUUACUUUCAGCUCAUUUGAAUGUCCAUGAAAGGGUUUAUCCGUGGACUGUACCUCCACCCAGGGGUUAGAUAUGUGUUUUUAAUAGACUCGGGUUCAACCUUUUUUUUACAAAAAAAAAAGAAGAUUUUUCAUCUGUUACUCAUCAAUCUUACAAAAGAACUUAAUCCUUUAGCAAAAAAAAAAAAGAAAAUCAAUCUUACAAAAGAAGGGGUUGCUUUUAAAAAGGAUGUGUCGUCCUUGUAUAUUGGUUAAUAUCUGGGAAAAAAUGGUAGUGGUUGCUUUAUUUAUUUGAUACUAGAGAUAGUGGUCGCCAUCAAUUGAAUCUGUAGUUUUGCAUCAUAUCAUAUAUCGCGUCCCAAAUAAAUAGUCAUGUGUUUUCUUCCUCAAAUAGUCAUGUUAUUUCGACAAUGGAUUCUGAAAACUUUUUAAAAAUUUACACCAAAUACCACAUUCAUAGUACUACUUUUUAUGUCUACACUAAUCAAUUUUAUCUUCACUUUUAAUGAAAGGUAAAAAAUAUUUAUACCCGUAGGAUUAACUAAUCUAGACUUAGAUUUAGAGUUGAUGAGUGGGUUAGGUUUUUAGAAUAUAAAAUUUAGAAUUUUAAUAAAUAUAUAAAUAAAUACUUAAAAUAUAUACUAUAUUUUUUUAAAAAAUAGUUUCAAACGUAAUUUUCGAUUAUCAAAAACAAGUUUAAAAUAAUAAAAAACAUUUAAAAAAAAAAGAGAAAUUCUCUAGGAUAGACCUAAAAAAGUUUUUAUCACAAAUAUAAACCUUAAAAAUAAAAAUAACCAAAAUAGACUUAAAUAUUUUAUCAAAAGAAGUAAAUAUACACUUAUACACCUAGGAUUAAUUAAUCUAGACAUUAGGGUUUAGAGUUAAGGGGUGGGGUUUAGGAUUUAGGGUUUAGGGUUUAGGAUUUAAGGUUUAGAGUUUAGGGUUUAGAGUUUAGUGUUUAGGGUUUAGAGUUGAAGAGUGGGGUUUUGGGGAUAGAAUUUCAAAUUUUUUAAAAAUAAAAAAAAAUUAAAAUUUUCAAAAUAAAAAAUGCUAUUUUGGUCAUUUUAGUUUUUGAGGUCUAUUUUUGUGACAAAGACUUAAAAAGAUCUAUUAAAGAGAAUUACCCAAAAAAAUUCAAAAAAAAAAUUAUAAAAAAAGUUCAAAUUUGAAAAAGUAUAAUUCGAAAACAUAAAAAAAUGAAUUUUUUAUUUGUUUUUUUUUAUUUAUUUAGAUAAUGAUUUAUUAUAUAUAUAAAGAAUAAGGGUAUAAGAGUCUUUUGUCACUUAAUGAAAAAAAUAUUUUUGAAAAUGUAUAUUUUAGUGGUGGUAAAAUGAAAAGUGGUUCAUCAAAAUAGUAAACAUGAAAUUUCCCCAAAUUUUUUCUUUUAAAUUUUGUGUUUACAUCCGAACUUUUCUCUAUAUGUGAAACCAUAAAAUUUCAAGCAUGUAAUACAUUCAUUCCUUAUUGUAUGAGAAUACUUGUGUUUUUUUGAAACCAUAAUAUUCUCUAUAUGUGAAACCAUAAAAUUUCAAGCAUGUAAUAUAUUCCUUAUUGUAAGAGAAUACUUGUGUUUUUUUUUGACCGAAGAGAAUACUUAUUAUGUUUAUGCAUGUACUUUAGGUUUCUUCAAAAUAUUACAAAAAAGUCUCUUUAAAAUAGAUUAUUUGUUUUCUCAUGCAGUCAGCACAUUAAUAAAUUAAAAUAAUGCAUAACAAAACAAUCAUAUUAAAUCAAACAGACAAUGAAAACUACAAUAAAAACAAUAGAAUGUAUACACAAAGGUUAUACGAUAUACGAAAAAAAAAAUCAUAUCAUAAUCUAUACUUAAAUACGAGGCUUAUUGCAAAAUGAAAAGAAUGAUGAUAUUUCACAUAUUAUACUAAAAAUAUUCUUAGUUCUUAAAUAUGCAUUUUAAUUUUUUCUUAUAUGUUGAAAUUAAGUUUGAUUUUGAGAACGAAAUUAAAGAUGUAAGAAAAAAAAGCUGACUAAUAAUAGACUGAUAGUUAAUCAAAAGAACAUAGAGUAUGAAAAUGAACUUAACCUUGAUGAGAACGGCGUCACAUUUUGGAACAGAAUCAAACAUAUCGCCUCCGACAUUCUCAACGCCAUCCAACACCUGAGCAACUUGGAUAACAUGAGGAACAUCAAAGUUAAAUCCUUUGAUCCAAGGAAACUCUUUAACCAAUAUUCCCAUCGUCUCUCCGGUACAGCCUCCUACAUCCACCACCGUAGCCACGCCUUCGAACAAGUCGUGACAAGCUCUGGCAACACGUGGCACCACGCGCCUUGUGUCACAAGCCAUGGCCUCAUUGAUCAUAUGGCUGAGGCAUGGAUUAUCCUCUGCUAAAGCCCACACAUCUUUACCGUGCACCGCAUCAAACGGUGGUGGAUGUGAACCGUUGGCCGGAGAAGCGACAACUGAGCUCAGUCUUAACCAUGGAGCUAGCAUCUCGGGACUUGUUUCGAAGAGAACGAAAGGAGCCAGAGACUUGCCGUCACGUUUUGUGAUCAUCAUAAGGCGAGAGAGUGGCGUGUUAGUGUAGCCUGUGGCUAGACCAUCUUUUAUGGGAACUUGUUUA